CUUCCAUAGACAUUGCCACGGCCAUCGUCCAAAUAUGCACUGUAUAAUAUAAUUUAAAUUACUGUCAAAUAAUUCAACAAAUAAUUUUUGACAUUGAUAUAAUAAUGUUUAGCAUUCGGACUAUUCAGAAUGAGUUACAUUUGUUACCCAGAUUGAUUUCUCGAUAUCCAAUUCCUAAUGUUUUUGUACUUGUUCAUGUCAUAGUCUUCUAAGGGACGGCCUGUGGAUGUCGAAGCUUGUGUGUAUUUCAUCUUCUUUUCCCUUUCUCUUCUCCGCAUGUCAACACUUUCUGCUGGUUGAGACGUUGAUGUCUCAUGCGAUUGAACAGUAGAAUUUGGACUUGCAUGGAGAGAAACAUCCUGCUGCAUGAAACCUAUAAUGGCUUCCAUGUUGGAUUCCCAGUUAGAUAAUCUGUUUAGCAUAUUCUCAUUCUUUUUGUCAAUGUAAGAUCUGACAGAACAUAAACUUGUAUCAAUAUAAGACUGUAUGUGCUCCUGUUGCUGCUGGAAUAAUUCUUCUUAUUUUCGAAGAAUUGCCUGAUAAUGGGCUUCUUAUUGUUGCGAUUCCUGGGCCAUAUGAGUGCUAAACAUAUUUGAUAGAGAAUUAUCCAUGUAUGACUGCAUACCACAUAGCAUGUAAUCUUUCAUCGAUUUGUUAUGUUGUUCAAACAGUUGCUUUUGGCUUUCAAGGAUAUCCUGGUUCAAGGCUCUGGAUUCUUCAACAAAUUCUGCCUUCAAGUUGCCACACAAACUGGACACGUCUGAUAUCGUAUGUUGCCUGUACAUACCCAACAUUUCUUCCAUUCGGUCUUCAAUUAUAUAUCUGGAGGCACCAGAAGCAGAACUAGGCCCAACUCCAGUUGAAGUUCUCAAUGUACCACGACUGGUCAUUUCUUGCACACGGAUGUUAUUCGGUAUUUGUGGUACUACAUUAUCUACUUCUCCAGUGACAAUGGCAUCUAAUAUAUUAUGUUCAUCGUCAGUCGGCAGUGAAAGAUUUGUGUACCAGGGUGUUUGUCAUUCUUCCUCUGUAGGCUACAGCACUGCAAUGACUUCGAUCUGUAAUCAUAACAAACUAUCAAAUCCAUUUG
rnacentral:lncRNA from 1 species